rnacentral:rRNA from 1 species
AUUGAACGCUGGCGGCAUGCCUAACGCAUGCAAGUCGAACGGCAGCACGGUCUAGCUUGCUAGACGGGUGGCGAGUGGCGAACGGGUGAGUAACGCGUAGGAAUAUACCUUGAAGUGGGGGACAACCUGGGGAAACUCAGGCUAAUACCGCGUAAUCUCUUCGGAGGGAAGCUGGGGACCGCAAGGCCUGGCGCUUUAAGAUUAGCCUGCGUCCGAUUAGCUAGUUGGUGGGGUAAAGGCCUACCAAGGCGACGAUCGGUAGCUGGUCUGAGAGGAUGAUCAGCCACACUGGGACUGAGACACGGCCCAGACUCCUACGGGAGGCAGCAGUGGGGAAUAUUGGACAAUGGGGGGAACCCUGAUCCAGCAAUGCCGCGUGUGUGAAGAAGGCCUGAGGGUUGUAAAGCACUUUCGGCGGGGAGGAGGAUGAGUUGGUUAAGAGCUGACUUAUUGGACGUUACCCGCAUAAGAAGCACCGGCUAACUCCGUGCCAGCCGCCGCUGUAAUAC